CUGCUCUGGCCGCCGAGCCUCGCGGGGCACUUUCCACAUACUCCCAUCCAAGACUUUCUCCGAGGGCCCUCUUCUGCGUCUCCAGUUUGUGCCGAGGAUCAAAGCAAAACCUGGACCUGAACCAGUUUCCCAAGAAAGUGUUCAAGCAGUACCGAAGGCCACGAAGAUGCCCAGUCACGAUCCAAACACUGAAAUGCUGAAAUGAUGUGUUUGCAGCUGAUGUGGUAUGGCGCUUCCAACCACUGCUCCAUGUAAAUGUACCUCAUGAAGUUGAUCAGACACAAAACUUCACAAAUGAAAGGAAACAACCUGUGUCCAGAAAUAUUCUACUUAGCUGAACAUCACAUCAGAGUAGUCGUGAUUUCUUAGAGACUUGCCGACCUGGGUCUUAAAGACUUUUCUGACCAGAGGAAGAGUAUAUAUCACUCUAAAAUUUUCAAAUGUUUACAACAAAAACUUAUUGGAGGACAGAGGGGAAAGAAUAUGGAAUCUAAAAAGAGAAGAAAGGAAAAAAAGCUACCAAGGGAAAAGAUAAAGAUCUUAUAAUCAAAAUUUCAAUGUCUUCCAAAAAAUCUAUUAUACAAAUUAUUCUUCAAGGGUUUAACAAUUUAGGACUUUUACACCGCCUUUGGUCACUAUCUUUAUAUAUACAUCUUUAUAUAUUAUCUUUAUAUAUAUAUUAUCUCAUAUAUACAUAUGAGUUACAAAGUGACAGAGACAGUUUCUGUUUUGGCUUCUGCUGGUGGUUCUGCAGUAACAAGUCUGUCUGAUGUUUGAACUCCAUGGAGCAGUAUAAAAGGAUAUUGAUUGAUGGGUCAGUCUGUUCUUCUAUGCAUAUGCAAAUUAUAUUUGUAUUAAUAUUCAUAUUAUCUAGAUAAAAAAGGGAACACUUCCUUUAUCAUUAUUUCAUAAUAAUGAAUAUUAAUAUUCCUAGAUUUAAAUGUAAAUUAAAAGUACUACAAUUAUUAAAACUUAUCUCCUGACAUUCUGCUAUGGAUUUGUUCUUUGCCUUUCUCUGAAUCUAAUAUUGUGUGAUUAUUCACAUUGAUAGCACCAGGAGGCACAUACAGGAGACUCUGUAUCUGUUACUAUGGUGACUAUUGGUCAUAUUUUGAAAGAAAAAGCAACCAUUGUUAUGCAUAAAUUUAAAUAUUACUACCCAACUUUUAAAAACUGUAGAAAAUUAGACAUCACAUUUUAAAGUGAUAUGCUAUGCAUUGUUUAAAGUCAUAUGCUUCCUAUUUUUCUUCUCAAGGAAAAUGUAGUUAGUUGGAACAAUAUACAUAGCUGAGUUUUUAAGAAUAAACUACAACUUUUCUUUUCCUUUAAAAAUGCUUACACAUAAUUAUCUACAUAGGCUGUAAAGACAGUCUGAUCUGGCUCUAAUCAUAGCUCUGUCACUUACCGGAUGUUUAUUACCCUUUAUAACAUAAAAAAUCAUAAAGAGGAUUUGGACUACAUCAUGGAUAAAUUUGAUUUGAGUAUGCUGACGAAAAUCAUUUUUAGGAUAAAUAGACAGAGAAAUAAAUUCACUUUGAAGUACCGUGCUUAACAUCCUAGAAAGAUACCCUUUUCCAGGUCAUGAAUCACCAUACUAUAUUGAUACAGAGAUAUUCUGGGCUUGUAUUUUCAGUAUUUUAUUUCCUCCUUCUUUCAACAUACAUUGACUAUAUCUAUCAGGCACUGUGCUAGAUUCUGGAAGACCUAGAUAAUAUGACGCCUCAAGAACUUCUAACAUUUGGGUUGAGAAGAACAAUUGAGAAAAGGGGUCUAAGAAGACCCAGACUUGUGAGGUGUAAUAAAUACAGAUGUUGUCAGGAGAACUGGAGAAAGUACGUAAUACCAGUUGUUAGAGGUAAGGAAGGAGGUAAGGUAGCAUCUAUAGGAACUGGAUAAAGAACACACUGGAUUUGGGAUCAUGGAGGUUAUUGCUGAUCUUGAUAAAAGCAAUUCUAGUAGCAAAGCAAUAACUGUAGCUAGAAUGGGAUGAGCAGAAGAGUUCACUGGAGAUUGUUUUUAAUUUAAAUAAUUCAUUGUAUUACAUUGAUACACAGUUAAUUUAUUUUAAGCUUAUGAUUUGGUUAGUUUUGCCACCUGUAGACACCAAUAGGGAAGUGAUGGGAAAGACAGCAUGAAGACGCAGCAAGGAGGCAAGGCUGCCACAUGUAAGCCAAGGAGAGAGGCCUCAAAAGAAGCCAAAAAUACCCAUGCUGUGACCUCAGACUUCUAAUCUCCAAAACUGGGAGAAAAUAAACCUUUGUUGUCUAAGCCAUCCUGGCUGUGGUAUUUUUGGCUGUUUACUGGGGUUAUGGCAGCCCUGGAAAACUGAUACAAGUGUCUGUUCCCCCACCAACUGGGCUGCGUGUAAGAGUUCUCUCUAUAGAAAGAUGACUUUUGUCAGAAGUAUUAUUUGAGAACAUUAGGCUAACCAUUCCAUGGUUAGCCUCCUUGUUUGCUUAAUGGUAUCUUUAGUAAAGAAAGUGUUUUUACUUGGAGUCUGAGUUAUUGCAUGUUUAUUUCAGGGGUUUUGAAGUUGUUAUGCUUUUGUUUUGUUCUUAGUCACUCAGUCGUGUCUGACUCUUUGCGACCCCAUGAACUGUAGCUCACCUGACUCCUCUGUCCAUGGUGAUUCUCCAGGAAAGAAUACUGGAGUGGGUUGCCAUGCCCUCCUCCAGGGAUCUUUCCAACCCAGGGAUUGAACUCAGGUAUCCCACAUUGCAGGCAGAUUCUUUACCAUCUGAGUCACCAGGGAAGUCUGUUUGAAGUUUUUACAUCUUAUCAAAUAAAUCUUUGCCUACUCAAAUUUAUACAACUUUCUCCUGUGUUUUCUUCUGGAAUUUUUAUUGUUUAAGCUUUUGUCUAGGAUCCAUUUCAACUUAACAUUUGGGUUUGGAGAGAAGUGGAAAAAAUAUUACAUUUUUUUCCCACUUUGAAUACCUAAUUGUUCCAAAACUGUUGAAAAGACUUUACUUUCCCCAUUGAAUUAACUUGGCACCCUUAUUGAUAAUCGAUUGAACAUGUGUGUGUUGGUCCACAUCUGAACUCUUCAUUCAGUUCCCUGGAUCUGUAUUUCCAUUUUUCUGUCUCUACAGUGCCAUCCAAACUAUUGUAGCUUCAUAGUGAGCCUUGAAAUCAAGAAACCUAAAUCCUCCAGGUUUGUUCUUUUUCUUUUCUAGAUUGCUUUGACUAUAGAUAAAUCAAUCAGCCAUUCAAAUUCUACCCAAAAAGCAUGCUGGAAUCUUUAUUAUGACUACUUUAAAUCUACAGAUAAAUUUGUGGGGAUUUGACCUCCUAAUAAUAUCAAGGCUCUCAGUCUGUGAGCAUAUUCUGUUCCCUGUCCCUUCAUUUAUUUAGAUAUUUGGUUACUCUCAGCAAUGGUUGGUAGUUUUCAGGAUACAGAUUUGUACCUAUUUUGAGAAAUAGGUAAAUAUUUCAUAAGUUAAAUAUAUUUUUUUGUCUUUAAAUGAUACUAUAGAUGAAAUUGUGUUUUUUUUUACUUCUUUUUCUAAUUGUGUGUUCCUAGCAAGUAGAAAUAGUAUCAAUUUUUGUGUACUAAUCUUGUUGAUUUACCUAAAUUGACUCCUAAUUCUAAUAGAUCUUUCACAGAUUCCUUAUAGUUUUCUAUAUAUAUAUAACCAUGUCAUCUUAUUAUGGGUUGAGCAUCUCCCUUUGAAUCAUAUGUUGAAGUUCUUACACCUAGUACCUGUGAAUAUGACCUUGUUUAAAAAUAGGGUCUUUGAAGAUUUUAUUAAUUUAAGACAAGGUCACUGGGAUGGACCUUAACCCAAUAGGGUUGAUAUCUUUAUAAGAAGAUGGCCAUGCAAAGAUAUAGACACACAGAAAGAACAUCCUCUGAAGAUUAGGACAGAUUAUGGAGUUAAAAAGCUGCAAGGCAAGGAAUACUGGAGAUUGGUAGACUCCACCAAAAGACAGGAAGAGACAGACAAAGAUCCUCCCUCUAGGAGUUUCAGAAGGAUCACAGACAAUAGGUUGAUUUUAGACUUCAGCUCCCAAAAAUUACCUUGUGGUAUUUGUUAUGGCAGCCCUAAGAAACUAAAAGUAAAGACAGUUUUCUUUCUUUCUUUCCAGCCUCUAUGUCAUUUAUUUCUUGUUCCUACCACAUUGUAUUAGCUAGUCUUUUCAAUAAGACUCGGAUUAGAGGUGAGGAGCACAAGCACCCUUGAUACCAUCCCAAUCCCAGAGAAUUAUGGAUCUAGAUUUUCACCCCACAUCUGAUGAUGGCUAUGGGUUUUUAUCAGGUUGACAAAGUUUUCUUCUAAUUCAGGGGUCUUAGUUGUACUUAGUCAUAUUCACUUUGCUGGUACUGAAUUGAUAAAAGAUUUUUGUGUCUAUAGUCUGUAGUUUUCUUUAUUUGGAAUGUAUUUUUCUGAAUUUGGUAUCAGUGUAACACUGACCUCAUAAAAUGGUUUAACUGGAUUAAUGUUUGCAUUAAAUGGUUACAUUUGAGAUGAAUGUAUGUUUUGUGGUUAUUAAAAUGAUUCUCUUUCCUCCCUCAUAGCAGAGGCUGAUCUUUUUAAAAUAGUUUUCAAUUCAGGCCCCUCUCCCAGUCCUACUAUUAUUGUUUUAUUUAAGGCCUUCAUGACUUUCACUGGAGCUAUUUUACCUGCCUUGUAAUUGGUCUUACUCUUUCUGGUCUCCUCUUUCUUAGAUUCAGACUUCUUUCCAAAUACGACAAUGUCAUGUCGUCCCCAUUCUCGAUGGUAUCAGCUCUUUUUCAUCACGUCAGAUGACAUGGCCUGACCUUUAGGACCUUGCUGUCUGUUUCCUGUCCUUCAUCUCUCCACUCUGCUGCUUUCCCCCUGCACAUCAGGUUCUUUCUUGCCCUCAUACUUUUGCUUCC